UACAGAGGGUGCAAGCGUUAAUCGGAAUUACUGGGCGUAAAGCGUGCGUAGGCGGUUAUGUAAGUCAGAUGUGAAAGCCCCGGGCUCAACCUGGGAAUUGCAUUUGAGACUGUGUAGCUAGGGUGCGGAAGAGGGAAGCGGAAUUUCCGGUGUAGCGGUGAAAUGCGUAGAUAUCGGAAGGAACACCAGUGGCGAAAGCGGCUUCCUGGUCCAGCACCGACGUUCAGGCACGAAAGCGUGGGGAGCAAACAGG
rnacentral:rRNA from 1 species